GCGUUCGUGUCUCCCGUCAGGGCGUCCUGGUCGCUGCUGAAGUCCUUGGAGAAGAUG
rnacentral:sRNA from 1 species